GCUGUCGCUCAAUGGUAGAGCAUCAGCUAUGCUUGCCGUAGGUCCCAGGUUCAAUUCCUGGCAUCUCCA